rnacentral:rRNA from 1 species
UACGAAGGGGCUAGCGUUGCUCGGAAUCACUGGGCGUAAAGCGCACGUAGGCGGAUUGUUAAGUCAGGGGUGAAAUCCUGGAGCUCAACUCCAGAACUGCCUUUGAUACUGGCGAUCUCGAGUCCGGGAGAGGUGAGUGGAACUGCGAGUGUAGAGGUGAAAAUUCGUAGAUAUUCGCAAGAACACCAGUGGCGAAGGCGGACUCACUGGCCCGGUACUGGACGCUGAGGUGGCGAA